rnacentral:lncRNA from 1 species
CCCAAGCAGAAUAUUUAUUUCUAUAUACAGUUCAGAAAAUGUAAGCUAAUGCUGCAAUCUACUGUCUAUUUUAUCUUUAAUAUACACAGAGAAAAGCGUCCUGUUGACAUGUAGAAAACCAAAAGGACUUCAUUUAAGUUCCAGUCUCACAUUUUUGAUUUGAGGGCCAUUGAGCAAGUUAAUGCACCUCUAUGAUUAAGUUUACUGCUUUUGUAAAAUAGUAAUGAUUAUAUCACCUAUCUCUACAUAACAGAGCUGGUGCUUCAAGGAUCAAAUGAGAUUAUGUACGUGAAAUCACCUUGAAAAGGACCAUGAAUGUAAGACACAAUUGCAGCUGCUGUGAAGCAAAUUUUGGAACAAUGGAUUGAUUCGUUGUAUAAAAGAAUGGAGGCAUUGUAUGGGCCACUCCUUGAGGGAAACAAGCAUGAGGCAGGUCAGGAAAAGAAGGAAAGAGGCAGAACUUCCAAAGAACAGAUUUGUCAAGAAGAGGUAGGCACCUCAAAUAAAACUGCUCAGCAAUGGAAUGCUACCGUGUAAUAAAAAAGAAUGAACCACUGAUACACUCAACGACAUGAAUAACUCUCAAACUAUGCUGAAUGAAAAAAGCUGGACACAAAUGAAUACAUUCUGUAUGAUUCCAUUGGCAGAAAACUAGAAAAUGAAAACUAACCUGUAGUGACAAAAAACAGGUCAGUGGUUUUCCUUAUUAAGAAGGUCCAUGAGGAAACUUUGGGAGGAAGAUGAAUAUGUUCAUUAUCUUGGUUGUAGUGAUAGUUUCAUGGGUGUGUACGUAUGUCUUGUAAGAUUGUGCACUUUAAAUAUGGGAAGUUUAUUGUAGGUCAGUUGUAUUGCUCUAUGCAUGUUAUAUUCCUCUAUAUACAUAUUAUUUCCAGAAAAACAUAAUUUCCAGAAAAAACUGCUGAGCAACAUAGCACAUAAACAGGCAAUGGGCAGAGCUCUCAAGUAACUCUUCAAUUAGUGACUAUCUGACUCUUAGAGACAUUUUUGGGGACUAA